CCUACGGGUGGCAGCAGUGGGGAAUAUUGGACAAUGGGGGGAACCCUGAUCCAGCGACGCCGCGUGAGUGAAGAAGUAUUUCGGUAUGUAAAGCUCUAUCAGCAGGGAAGAAAGAAAUGACGGUACCUGACUAAGAAGCCCCGGCUAACUACGUGCCAGCAGCCGCGGGAAUACGUAGGGGGCAAGCGUUAUCCGGAUUUACUGGGUGUACAGGGAGCGUAGACGGCGAUGCAAGUCUGAAGUGAAAGGCGGGGGACCAACCCCCGGACUGCUUUGGAAACGGUAUGGCUGGAGUGCAGGAGAGGUAAGUGGAAUUCCUAGUGUAGCGGUGAAAUGCGUAGAUAUUAGGAGGAACACCAGUGGUGAAGGCGGCUUACUGGACUGUAACUGACGUUGAGGCUCGAAAGCGUGGGGAGCAAACAGGAUUAGAUACCCCAGUAGUC
rnacentral:rRNA from 1 species